rnacentral:lncRNA from 1 species
UGCAUACAUACAUCUGCAUCAUGAGGUCUCUUAGGGACCAAAAUUUGUCUCUUUGUUAUUAUUUAAGCCCAUUCUACCUCGUCGAAACGAAGAUUUUAACCUUCACUUCUCCGGCUAGAAUGACCUUAAAUAGGGGCAUCUGUAAGACCCCAAUUUUGACCCUAAGAUCCCUCAUGGCAUCAUAACAUUACAUUUGCAUAGCCUCAAGG